rnacentral:pre_miRNA from 12 species
UUUCAGAUGUCUGCACUGAAUGUGGUCCUGUCAUCAAAGUCGGUUUGUCAUAGAUCACCACGUAACUAUCACAGCCAGCUUUGAUGAGCACGACUGCAUUUGUCACACCAUAUCAACCAA